UACGGAAGGAGCAGUGGGGAAUAUUGCACAAUGGGCGAAAGCCUGAUGCAGCUAUGCCGCGUGUAUGAAGAAGGCCUUAGGGUUGUAAAGUACUUUCAUCGGGGAGGAAAAAACAAAACUAAUAAUUUUAUUUCUUGACGUUACCCGAAAAAGAAGCACCGGCUAACUCCGUGCCAGCAGCCGCGGUAAUACGGAGGGUGCUAGCGUUAAUCAGAAUUACUGGGCGUAAAGAGCACGUAGGUGGUUUUUUUAAAGUCAGAUGUGAAAUCCCUGGGCUUAACCUAGGAACUGCAUUUUGAAACUGAAAUACUAGAGUAUCGUAGAGGGAGGUAGAAUUCUAGGUGUAGCGGUGAAAUGCGUAGAUAUCUGGAGGAAUACCUGUGGCGAAAGCGGCCUCCUAAACGAAUACUGACACUGAGGGUGCGAAAGCGUGGGGAGCAAACAGGGAUUUAGAUACCCGU
rnacentral:rRNA from 1 species